UCAGACACCAAGUGACCUGACUGAACCCUCUGGAGACCAUGAAUGGAAUGAUAGAUACACUUCAUCCUUACAACAGACAUCAAGUGACAGGUACCUGACUGAACCCUCUGGAAACCAAGAAUGGAGUGAGAGAUCCACUUCAUUCUUACAACAGACACCAAGUGACCUGACUGAACCCUCUGGAGACCAUGAAUGGAAUGAUAGAUACACUUCAUCCUUACAACAG